rnacentral:rRNA from 1 species
GCCCAGUGAUCAGCAUUUAACGGCCGCGGUAUACUGACCGUGCAAAGGUAGCAUAAUCAUUAGUCUUACAAAAGAGGGCUGGAAUGAAAGGUUUGACGAAGUAUUGACUGUCUCAUUUUAUUUGUAAUUAAAAUUUAACUUUUUAGUCAAAAGGCUUAAAUGUAAUUGGUAGACGAGAAGACCCUAUAGAGCUUUAUAUUAAUUUUUUGAUUUUUAUUUAGAUAAUUUUUAAUUAUAAAAAUUAAUAUUUUGUUGGGGUGACAGGAAAAUAAAAAUAACUUUUUUAAUUAUAUAACAUUGAUUUAUGAUUAUUUGAUCCAUUAUUAUUGAUUAUUAGAUUAAGUUACCUUAGGGAUAACAGCGUAAUCCUCCUCCAGAGUUCAUAUUUACGGGUAGGGCUUGCGACCUCGAUGUUGGAUUAAGAUAAUAAUUAGGUGUAGCCGCUUAAUUUAUAGGUCUGUUCGACCUUUAAAUUCUUACAUGAUCUGAG